rnacentral:rRNA from 1 species
CUACCUCCCCUGUGCGUCCUUGCCCUCCCAACGCUAGAAGGAAGGAAGGUAGGUAACUUCCAUGUGUAGGCGGUAGAAUGCGAGAUAGUUGGGAAGGAACCACCAGGUGGACGAAGGGCGGUCUUUCGUGGCUAGUAACUGGACCGCUGGAGGUCCUAAGGAAACACCGGGAAGGGGAGACCGGGAACGGGUAUUAGACCGUACCCGGGUACUCCGUCGGAACCCGGUAAACNGUAGAAUGCGUAGGUUGGUAAGGGAGGUUAUCCCCGACCCCCUUCCUUGGUCGGCCGGGUAAAGGUUAACCGACUAAAAGUAACGCUACGUUCCCGCCGGGUGGGGAAGGUACGGUCGACAAGCUAAGAACACGAAAGUAUGGACGGGGCCCGCACAAGCGGUGGAGUAUGUGGUUUAAUUCGACGCAACGCGAAGAACCUU